GGGCGUAUAGCUCAGCGGUAGAGCACCUCCCUUACAAGGAGGUGGCCGCAGGUUCGAUCCCUGCUGCGCCCA
rnacentral:tRNA from 1 species